AGCUCCAAGAGCGUAUGUAAAAGUUGUUGCAGUUAAAAAGCUCGUAGUUGAACCUUGGGUUUGGUUGGCCGGUCCGCUUUCUUGCGAGUACUGGAUUCAACCGAACCUUUCCUUCUGGGAACUAAUCGUUUUGCGGUUAGUGUACCAGGACAUUUACUUUGAGAAAAUUAGAGUGUUCAAAGCAGGCAUUAGCUUGAAUAUAUUAGCAUGGAAUAAUAGAAUAGGACGUUAUGGUUCUAUUUUGUUGGUUUCUAGGACCAUCGUAAUGAUUAAUAGGGACGGUCGGGGGCAUCAGUAUUCAGUUGUCAGAGGUGAAAUUCUUGGAUUUACUGAAGACUAACUACUGCGAAAGCAUUUGCCAAGGACGU
rnacentral:rRNA from 1 species